UUUUUUUUUUUUUUUCCUUUUUUUUUUUUUUUUUUUUUUUCCUUUUUUUUUCUUUUUUUGGUUUCAUCUACACACGACCAUAGUUUCCUGUAUAAGGAUUAUUUUAGCAGCAUAGUCAAGUCAUAUCAAUAGCCCUCAUUUUUUUUUCCCUCAUUUGGGGAUUGAUAUAUAGGUUUUGGAUUUUCAAUUUUGGGAAGUUGAUAGUAGAUGUUGAAUUGGAUAGGUGGAACAUCUAAAUUAUAUGGAUAAUUUAUGAUGUUAUCAGAUUUCCAUCAGCUCCUGUAUUUCGGAUUCAGCAAUACUUCUUCAUCACUUUCCUAUUUUAGGUGGUCUGGAUUUUGUAAGUAUAUAUUAAAACAUAAAAUUUACUCGCCAAAUUGUUGUUGAACUAGGAAGCACUUAGAUUUAUGUGAUCCCUGGUAAUGAAUUUUAGUUAUGCGGUCUUACAAUUUCCUAUCUAUUUUUGGGAAAGCAAGUUUUCAGUAAGAUCAAGUUGGAAUAUCAUUCUUUUGCAAGUUUUGGUGUUAGAUUGUGAAUUUAGCUUGAAUUGUUUAAGUUAUUAUCAUUUGCAUUGAAAUGUUGUUUAUCUCUUUAAUUCUUGAGAAUUUCUAUUCGAAUUAUUUCGUUUCAUUUGCUGGGUCUUAUACUGUGGACUCUCUAUGUAUUCAAUCAUUCUAGCACUUUUGAGCGGUCAAGCAUAAAUCUAUAUACUGAGGAUUCUCUUUCUGAAUGCACAACUCCUUUUGUUAACCUAAGAUGGUGAAGUAAUUUUGAUAUAUUCCUCCACAUUCCAUUUUUGGGUGUUAAACGAGUACUCAUCUCUGUUACAAUAAAUUCAAGUAUCUUGAUGUUGCUGGCCAGAAGAAUUCCUAACUUUACAUCUUCAAUGGUGUGGCUUAGUUCUUUGGGUUGUUGGUAUGGUCUAUAUAUUUCAUUCAACUUCAAAACUUUGCAUUUUACUCUAAAAUGUUUAGUAUUCUGCUCGUUCAUAUACUCAACAUAUAUUGCAGGGAAAUGGAAACUCAAUUUAUUGAUCAGUUGACCAUGUGUGGAUGAGUUUCUAAAAUCUGAGAUUGUUAUACACCGCCACAAAAUCUGUCUAUUGUUAUUUUUUAGCAUCUCUAUGAUUAUUUGAAAUAUUAGAGUUUUAUAAAUGAAAGACAUUUGCCUCUUUAGUUCCUUGAGAAUAAAGGGCGUUGGGAGUAGCCAUGGAAUUUAAGGAUUUCACUAGGGAAAUAGUUUGUGUAUAUAACGUUUUCAUCAGUAUAAAGUUUUUGAUGGGCCAACCAGUGCGUCAGAUUAAGAUAUUGCAAUGAAUGAUGUCAGCAGAAGUCCAGCAAAGACCUUAACCAGUGCUAAAGGUCCAAGCUUCACUGAGGGGAUUUCUAAGUCAUCAUAUGCCAAGUAAGCAUCAGAUUUGAAAAGCUCUUCUGUAAAGGUGAAUUUUUUUUUUGCUCAUUGAUAGGGGGUCCAAAUAUGAAAAGAUUUGUAUUCUAUUUAGAUUUUUUCUUUGUUAUCCCCAUCUCUCUACGUGUUCCAUUUGGAUAGUUUCUGCCUAUAAAUUUAUUUAACUUGUCUUUUCGUUUGCAGCUAAACCUCUUUCAACAUAGGAAAUCGUUGUCUUACAUUGUAAUUUGGCAUGUGUUUUCAUCUAUAAGGUAGAGAUUGGCCAUUGACUAUUUUUACAAUUGUCUUUGGCUUUCAUGAAUUUUGUGGACAUUUGUAACGAAUUAUGUAACUAUCACGACAAACAAUUCAUUGUUGUAUGAAUUUUAUAUUCUCCUUAGU